rnacentral:rRNA from 1 species
AACGAACGCUGGCGGCAUGCCUAACACAUGCAAGUCGAACGAGACCUUCGGGUCUAGUGGCGCACGGGUGCGUAACGCGUAGGAACCUGCCCUUAGGUUCGGAAUAACUCCCCGACAGGGGUGCUAAUACCGGAUAAUGUCUUCGGACCAAAGAUUUAUCGCCUUUGGAUGGGCCCGCGUUGGAUUAGCUAGUUGGUAGGGUAAAAGCCUACCAAGGCGACGAUCCAUAGCUGGUCUGAGAGGAUGAUCAGCCACACUGGGACUGAGACACGGCCCAGACUCCUACGGGAGGCAGCAGUGGGGAAUAUUGGACAAUGGGCGAAAGCCUGAUCCAGCAAUGCCGCGUGAGUGAUGAAGGCCUUAGGGUUGUAAAGCUCUUUUACCCGGGAUGAUAAUGACAGUACCGGGAGAAUAAGCUCCGGCUAACUCCGUG